rnacentral:rRNA from 1 species
GUCGAGCAAGGAUGAAAAUCGGACUUAGUGAUCCGGUGGUUCUGCGUGGAAGGGCCAUCGCUCAACGGAUAAAAGCUACCCUGGGGAUAACAGGCUUAUCUCCCCCAAGAGUCCACAUCGACGGGGAUGUUUGGCACCUCGAUGUCGGCUCAUCACAUCCUGGGGCUGUAGUAGGUCCCAAGGGUUGGGCUGUUCGCCCAUUAAAGUGGUACGCGAGCUGGGUUCAGAACGUCGUGAGACAGUUCGGUCCCUAUC